rnacentral:lncRNA from 1 species
AGAAUGUCCUAAGAUAUGCAGUUGGCAAGCUGGAGACCCAAGAAGAGCCAAUAUUUCAGUUUGAGUCUGAAGGCAGGAAAAGACUGAUGUCCCAUCUCAAAGCAGUCAGGCAGAGGGAGUUCCCUCUUGUUCUCACUCAAGGAAGGGUGGCGCAGUGCUCCCGCUGUUCCGAGGCUCAGCUACCCUGAGGGAGGCAGGGAAUUUUGAUCAGCUUCUGAAGAAUCACCUCAUCUCUCCCCGCAGAGAGCACAGAGCACAGGACUUCACGUUAUGUCAAGAUCUCUUGCAAAAGCCCAGCUCCUAGAGAGCAGGAGCCUUCCCAGACUGUGUCAAAUUACCUCGGGGAUGGAGAGACUUACAUGGCAUUAAUAGAAAUCAAAUGGCAGAGCUCGGGUUUCUGGUGAGUCUCCUGAGGUUCAGAAGGGUGAGAUGACACAUUCAAGGUCACAUGGCUCAUUUGUGUUGGAGUCAGAAGUUUCCAGAUUUCUUGACUUUUAGUCCAAGGAGCAGUCCCUGUGCAUGUGUCAGAGUUGAACAAGCCAGGUUCCAGGAGAGCAGAUGGUCCUGAAGAAGGUCUUCCUGGCUGAUCUGAGAGGUGACACAGAAGAAUAAAGAAGGGAAGGAUGAGAUGAGCUUCUGAGUUUGGAAACUGCAUUGAUGUUGAAGAUGGUCUCAAAGUUGUGUAAGCAAAUUUCCAUUUUUUGGAGAAAAAAGAAUGGACUGAGUGCCCAUGACCUCAGGGACAUCUUGGAAGCUAUAUGUAGAAGAUGGAAAAGCCUCUGUCAUCUCCAUCAAUUUAAUCUCCAAAUAACUACUUAGAAAAGGGACAGCUUACUAACUCCUUCAUUGCCCAGUACUAUUAGGUAAAAACAUUAUAACAGGAGAUUCAAAUUCUACAUGGUGGGAGCAAAAGUGGAUCUUGUUUUUCUAUAGCAACAUGGUUGACCUUCAUAGUGAAGUUUGAAUCUGACAGCAUUCAUGCUCAAAUGUCCAAGCCCUGCAUUUCUGAUACCAUGGAAUCACAAGCACGCUGUGUGAUACUGUGCAGCAUUUGAUCCUGCCUGACUUCUGUGUCUCAGCCUAUCAACGAAGAUAUUUAUAGCUGCCUUAUGCCAACGUACUUUUUAAAGCUGGGUAAUACCAGUGUAAGAUGGUCACAUUUAUCUUGAAAGCCGAGGUAGGGUACCAUGUGUGCUCCCUGAACUACUGU